GACGAACGCUGGCGGCGUGCCUAAUACAUGCAAGUCGAACGCAGUGGGGACGGGUGAGUAACACGUGGGUAACCUCCCAUCAGAGGGGAUAACACUUGGCAACAGGUGCUAAACCGAUACUGAUGGAUGGACCCGCGGUGCAGUAGCUAGUUGGUGAGGUAACGGCUCACCAAGGCCACGAUGCAUAGCCGACCUGAGAGGCUGACGGGCCACACUGGGACUGAGACACGGCCAAGACGACUACGGGAGGCAGCAGGAGGGAAUCUUGGUCAAUGGACGAAAGUCUGACCGAGCAACGCCGCGUGAGUGAAGAAGGUUUUCGGGUCGUAAAACUCUGUUGUUAGAGAAGCGUUAUCUAACCAGAAAGCCCCGGCUAACUACGUGCCAGCAGCCGCGGUAAUUC
rnacentral:rRNA from 1 species